rnacentral:tRNA from 1 species
GACCGAAAUCUAAUGGAUAAGGCGUCGCCCUCUGGAGGCGAAGACUGCAGGUUCGAGUCCUGCCUGGGUCG